UCCUCGUUCAAUUCUUUCGAAGUCAUUGGAUCCUUUUCCUCGUUCGAGAAGUUCCUCCCUUCAUCCACUCCGUCCCGAAGAGUAACUAGGACAAAUUCAGUCACGUUUUCAUGUUCCAAUUGAACACUUUCCUUUUUUGAAAGGAGAAGAUUCUUCUUUUUACCAAACAUAUGCGGAUCCAAUCACGAUCUUAUAAUAAGAACAAGAGAUCUUUCUCGACCAAUCCCUUUGCCCCCUCAUUCUUCGAGAAUCAGAAAUAUUUUUUCAAGUUUGAAUUUGUUCAUUUGGAAUCUGGGUUCUUCUACUUCAUUUUUAUUUAUUUUUAUUAUUUUUCCCUCUCUUUUCUUUUUUUAUUUCUUUUUUU
rnacentral:misc_RNA from 1 species